UGGGUGGUGGACGCCGCCGUGCCACUGUGGGCGGUGUGUAUAAAGGGUAGGCGAUCACGUCUGGUGCAGAGGCUCAGCUUUCCUCAUCAAGCUGCGAAAGAUACUGCCAGAAUAACCACGCAAGGAUGCCUUCAACCAGCGGUGGAUUAACACAGGGAUGCGAAUUAUUCUUACCGAAUGUAUGAUGCUAAUUCCUUUGCCUGAACGAUGUUAAUAAAUAUUUUGUAUUA